rnacentral:tRNA from 1 species
GGACUGUAGCUCAGUGGUAGAGCACUUGCCUGGCAGGUUUGGGGCCCUGGAUUCGAUCCUCAGCACCA